ensembl:lncRNA
CUUCACACCCCUCUGCUCCCCUGGACAAAGCAGAGACACGACUGAUGCUCCAGCAGCUCGACCCCCACCAGGAAAUCAUCCACAGACACCAUCUUCCCAUUAGCCUCUGGGGCCCUGGACUGCCGAGCCAGCCUUUCAUCCACCUGUAGUCAAGAACUUGCCCGGACCUGUGGGGGUCUGUUAAAAUUUCCACAUUAGCUUGUCCUGGACGACAGCUACAUUUUGGAGAAAGUAAAGGACAUUGGACAGAAGAUGAUGCGAUGACAAAGCAGAGGGACAGAGAGAAAGAGAUCUGAAGAUGCCACCCUGCUGGCUUUGAAGAUGGAAAAAGGGCCAAAAGCCAAGAGAUGUAGGUGGCCUCUGGAAGCUGAAGGGGCAAGGAAACAGAUCUCCCCUGGAGCCUCUAGAAGGACCUGGCUCUACCAACAUCUUGACCUUGGCCCAGCGAGCCUGGUCCCAGAUGUCUGGCCUCCAGAGCCGAGAGAGGACACAUUUGUGUUGUUGGAAGGCACUGCAUUUGUGGUGAUUUGUUACAGCAGCCACAGGACGCUAAACAACCACUGAGUCAGCCCGUCCCCUGCAGCUCUCUCAGCGGCAGCCUGGUUCCCGAAAACAGCAAGAAUGAAGCCGGCCUCAUGGAGCUGACACCUGGCAGGGUACAUCAUCGAGCAGUGGGCAGUUGCAACGCAUCGCAGGGGACACCUGCGGCUGGCGACACGGAGAAGGGCCCCCGCUCAGCCUGAAGCAUCAGGGAAGACUUGCUCAACAAGGGCUGCUUCAGCAGAGGCUGGGAAGAUGAAUAGGACUUAACCGGGAGGAAAAGGGAAGGGGGGAUACCAAACAGAGGGAGCAGUGAGUGCAAAGGCCUGGAGGUGAGAGAGAGCCCAAUCAUUUGAGCAACUGAAGUGAUACAGCCCGGACAGAGGACAGGGUUUGAAGGGGAAACGAUAGAAGCCUGUGGUGCAACGGUUAGGCGUCGAGCUCUGUGAGUGCUUGAGUUGAGGCCCAGCCUCGCUAUCUCCCAGCUUUGUGAUUUGGGGCAAGUAACUUGACCUCUCUGUGCCCUAGUUUCCUCACCUGCCUGACAGGGAUAACACAUGGUACUUACCUUACAGGGUCCUGGGAGGUUUAAACACAGCUACAGCACAGAGCAAAGGGCUCAAGAAAUCUGUCAUUUGGGGCUGGCCUGGUGGUGCAGCGGUUGGGUGCACACGCUCCACUUCGGUGGCCCGGGGUUCACCAGUUUGGAUCCCCGGUGCAGACAUGGCACUACUUGGCAAGCCAUGCUGUGGAGUUUAAGCUGAGUUUUUGUCACUGGCAAGCAGGAGAGUCCUGAUUGAUAGAUGUGUGCUCAGUAAACUCGCAUUGACUAAGGGACUGGGUGAGCAUCGAGCGCUCUGGCCCUCCCCUGAGCUCUUUAAGUCUGAGGGUGACUCCAUGGGGAGGACCCUGCUUCCCUGUGGGACCAUAAGGACUUGCAGGCAUUCUUCAGUUGGCCUGGGAACGUGCCCUCUCCGUUCUCCCCACCUGCAGGGCCUGCCAUCCAAGUCUAAGGUUCUUUCCGGAGAGGGAGGAGGCUCUGCUCAGGCAGGUGUGCAGCUGGCCCAGAAGCUGAGUCCUUGUUUUCCUCUCCCUGACCCAAACCUCCCCAACAGGGAAGAUGUCAGGUUCUGCUUGGAGAGGGGAAAUGGGAAAGGGGGCUGAGGCCUGGGGAAAGCCUGAGGGGUUAGGGCCUUUAUCAGUCCCAUUUUACAGAUGAAGACACUGAGGCCAGGGAGGUUAAGUUACUUAUCCUCAAACCUGGGGCCCACCAAAGAGAACUCAGAACUCUUUUUUUCCUCCUCCUUAACGAUUUUCCAUCUAGUGUCCGCAAAUUUUUUUCUGCCUUUCUUGCCCUCCCAAAUAUGGAUACUCAUUCCUUAUGAUGACUCACUCCUUUCUCUUCGGUCUUGAAGAACAAUGUCUGGGCAGACCUGGGUUUGUGUCUCUGCUCCCUGAUGGACAAGCUGUAUGUCCUCAGGCCAGUGUCUUCACCUCUCUGGGGCUUGGUCCCUUCAACAAUGGCAGUGGAGAUGCUCUCAGGCUUUUUAUGAGGAUUACGUGAGUUAAUACAUGUAAAACGUUUAAAAUAGUAAGCUCUUUUGAUGUACUCAAUAAAUGGCAGUUUUUAUCAUUAAUUUCCUUCAGAAAUUAUACUGUGCAGUAUUUCUUGUAAUGAAAUAGAGGGAAAUGUUCUCCCAAAUAAGUAAAUAAAUAAUCCCACUUUGAAAACUGCAAUUUUGGGGCCAGCUGGUGGCAUAGUGCUUAAGUUCAUACUCUCCACUUUGGUGGCCUGGGUUUUGCAGGUUUGGAUCCUGGGUGCG